GUGCCAACGACUGAAUAUGAGAAGAUUAGGGCUAAAAAUAUGAUGAGGAACAACCGAAUAUUCCAAUCACUUGGUAUCGCUGCAUUAGGUAUGAUGAGUCCAGACAAUGAGGUCAUUGAGGAGGAUGAAGUUGAUGAUAUUGUAGUGGAGAAGGAAGAUAAGGAAACCUGUCAGUCGAACAAGGAGAACUGUUCCAAAGUUAAGUUCCAUCAGAAAACUGGUUCUCGCCCCUACAUUUCCCAUGUGCAUGCUUUGAAAAAGGCUCGUAAGGGUGAAGAGUUGACUGCGUUUGAUCUAUUCAAGGAGUGCCACAAUGGCAAGAAGAUUGGUUUCUCUGAGCCAGUUAAGAAGGCAAUUUUA
rnacentral:rRNA from 1 species